rnacentral:lncRNA from 12 species
CUGAAACUCAAAUAUCCCACACUAACAGUGCUGGGCUUUGUGAGGCUGAAAAUUGCUCUGGAGUAUUGCUGGCUCAACGUGCUGUGAAAAUAUUAGUAGAAAAACUGGAAGGAACAAUGUACAAAUCAAAGCUAAGAGAGAGAAAAGUCUGAGAAGCACAAGACCCACUCGAGUGCUCAAGUCCUACAGAGAGAAGUUUUCCUACUGCUUUCCUGCAGGUCUUGAGCCAUGGCAGGUCGAGUGCUUGUUUUAAAGAGGACACAAUUUCCAAAAGCUGGAGCUGACAGAAGCAGCCUGGGAGGUUUCAACCCAAAGAUGUUGCACUGGAAAACAGCCAGCUCCAGAUUUCCAAACAGCUCUCUUCUGGAUUACUAAUCUACAAGGCCUUCAACUAUUGGUUUUGAACAGCUCAUCUUCCAGCCUCAAUGCUUGAUCAUCCUAGAAUGCUUAAAUACCUCCCGAGCAGGAAACACCUUCAUGUUAAUUAUAUUAAAAGUCUGAGCUGGAGCCUGCCAAGCAGUUCUGAACGCAGUAAACCAGACACAGACUUUGGGAUGAGUAAAAACAAU